rnacentral:rRNA from 1 species
UACCAGCACCCCGAGUGGUCGGGACGAUUAUUGGGCCUAAAGCAUCCGUAGCCGGUUUUACAAGUCCUCCGUUUAAAAUCCAACUGCUUAACAGAUGGGCUGCGGAGGAUACUAUAAGACUAGGAGGCAGGAGAGGCAAGCGGUACUCAGUGGGUAGGGGUAAAAUCCGUUGAUCCAUUGAAGACCACCAGUGGCGAAGGCGGCUUCCAGAA